rnacentral:rRNA from 1 species
UAAAACCAGCUCUUCAAGUGGUCGGGAAUUUUAUUGGGCUUAAAGUGUCCGUAGCCUGUUUGAACAGUUCCUGGUUAAAUCUGGUAGCUUAACUAUCAGUCAGCUAGGAAUACUAUCUUACUAGAGGGUGGGAAAGGCUUGGGGUACUCCAGGGGUAGCGGUGAAAUGCGAUAAUCCUUGGGGGACCACCAGUGGCGAAGGCGCCAAGCUGGAACACGCCUGACGGUGAGGGACGAAAGCCAGGGGAGCGAACGGGAUUAGAUACCCCGGUAGUCCUGGCCGUAAACGAUGCGUGCUAGGUGUUGGAAGGGCUAUGAGCCGUUCCAGUGCCGUAGGGAAACUGUUAAGCGCGCCGCCUGGGAAGUACGCUCGCAAGAGUG